GAAAAGUGCAGCAUCUCUCAUCACCUUCUUCAUCUUCUCCUCCUCAUCCCUUCAUGCUCACUCGCCUAUAAAUAUCCCUCGCUGCCUGCCAUUGUUCCUCAAGCCAGCAAGCAAGAAGCACACAGGAAGCUCCUAGUCAACACCAAUCAAAGCCUCCAUCCAAUCCCAAGCAACCUCGAAGAUGUCUUGCUGCGGAGGAAGCUGCGGCUGCGGCAGCGCCUGCAAGUGCGGCAAUGGCUGCGGCGGCUGCAACAUGUACCCGGAGGUCGAGGCCGCCGGCGCCACCCUCCUCGUCUCCGCCACUGCCACCCACAAGGCGUACGUCCCUUCUCUUGACAAAAUUUUCUCCACAGCUCAUACAUCAUCAUGCACUCGAUCUUAGUUACAAUAUGGCUGUAUGUUGAUCUUGGUAUGGAUGGGGUACGUGCAGGAGCUCCGGCGGGAUGGAGAUGGCGGCGGAGAACGGCGGCUGCGGCUGCACCCAGUGCAAGUGCGGCACCAGCUGCGGCUGCUCCUGCUGCAGCUGCUAGAUCAUUGAUCAUGCAUGCGCCGCGUGCAUCAUAUCUAUGGUCUAUCUACCAUCUACUACCAUGUAACGCUGCCUGAUCGAGGGUCUUUGUAUGUAUGUACGCACCUGCCUGCAUGAGCAGAGCGGGUGCCAUGCCAUGCAUGUAAACCCCUAAAUAAAAUCUCCCGUGGUUUUGCUUACAUCGUGUUGUUAGAUCCUCCUCCUAUUAGUGUUGCUUUCGGGUUCUUCUUAUGCACGAGCAGGAUCAGAGGCCGGUCUUUUGUUCUUGGUCUUCUCCUCAAACUGUCGUUUUCCUCUUCUCUAUGGUUCCAUUUGCAGCAGUAUUUUCUUCUUCUGUUGCCGAGUUCUGUAUCAGACUGCCUUGUUUUGUGGUUUAUCCCUAUUCAUCUUGAAAUAUAGGUAUAGCGCAUGAAUUUAUUUGCAAAUGGUGUAUCUCAACGGGACACGAUGGUAUGCGUAUCUUGCAGGAUGUAUUGAUCUGUCUAUCUUAUGCGUCUUAUAUUAAAAAAAAAUUACAUUAAGGUCUCGUGGUGUAGUAGGUUACCACGUCAGUCUAACACACUACAUGGCGAAGCCAAAUUAUCAUUGUUUUUCCUUGCAUGCAAAAUGCAGCAAUAGAUCUUCGUCCUUGGCUAGUUUCCCAUAUUUUCACCGCCUAUGUUGCAGGUAUUCGACCCUAUUGGAGUCUCCUUUUUUGUCACUGUUUCUCACUUUCUGUGAUGUGAUGUGUGCGCAAAUAUUCCCACAGCAACUACAUAAUAAUAAAUCCAUUUACGCAAGCGCCCGAAUAAUGGCAAUGAUAUAUUACCGCUCAAAGCGCAUCUCCUAAUUAACCUGUCAUGUCCAUAGCUGCGUCUAAGCUCUCGGGGCAGAAAUACUCACUCUCGACCACUGCUUCAUAUCACCGAAUCCACACGGCCAAAUUACGUCCUCCAUUUUUUAAGCGGUGACACUAUAUCUCGUGGGAAAAUUGUUUCCACUGUUCGAUAUCCCUCCCUUUGAUGAAAAAAUUCACGCUUGGCUUCUGCAUCACAGAGUGCAGAUAACGAAAAUUGUUUUCUAUGUUCUGAGCUGGAACACUAUAUCUUGUGUAAAAAAAUUGUGUCAACAAUAUCGAUAUUCCCUCCCAUAAAAUAAAAUCAUCAAUAGCUCACUUCUCUAUAUAACUGAAUGGAAAGUAAUGGGCGGUGUGGAGCACCCAAGACAGCACGCAAAAUAUCGGUGUUAUUUUAACUCCACUACGUAGACAAGUCACUAUAUUUACCCAAUUAUGUAAGAAAUAUAAAUAACUCAAGAACUGUCUGGCCAUAGAUGGAGCUUUCUACAGGUGGGGACAAGAAUUUGGCACCACCCACUCAAUUUCCCUCUCACCUUUUUUGCAUUGCUUUCAUAUUAAAAAACAAAAAAAAAAUAGUGAGUUGAUUUGCGAUCUGCCUGAAAAUGACAAGAUGACGGUUGGGGGUUAAAAAAACAUUCAAAUGCAUUUUAUAUAUUCACAUGUUUACUUAUUUUGUAUUUGUUUGUGCAUGUCAUAAAAAUCAUCAAUUUCCACAAGCAUACAUAAUACUCAAUGAUCUACAUUGACAAUAGGCUUUGAGAUUUUUCAACACAUGACAAAAAAAAUCAAAUGAGGUCAGCUGGAAAUUAAAGAUCUGUUUUGACUUCCAAAUAAUUAUGAUCUCUUUUGUUCAAACUUAAAAGGGAUCAUUACAGAAAAUUUGGAGAUUCCAAUUGUUAGAAUAUUUUCCUACAGGACUAGUAGGGCUGUGAACCAUAAUGAUAUUUUCUAUGGCCGAAUUGACAUGUAUACGUAAGAAAAAUUUCUGUCGAGCCAAAUCUAUUGGAAAUAGUUUCGUUGGUUCAAUGACAACUAUGUGCUUGCACCUAACGCUUGAGAAAAUUCUUGUAUUUUUUCCCUCUUGCAAUAAAUCAACAUCUAUAUUUUACACAUUUACUCCAUCUUCAAUUCCCACAGAAUUCAACACAGCAUGACAUGAAAUCUGUAUGUUAAUUUUUCCGGUUCCUGUCUUUUUAAAAUCCUGCAAAAGGAUGUGGCAUGUAAUCUUUAAAAAUAGUGGGAGUGUGAUAGUUAUUGAAAUGCAUGUAGGAUGGAAACUAAAAUUUCAGUAAAAUUCAGCUUAUAACACUAAAACUGAAAAAGUUGCCAAGCCUAUGGCAACCAAGAGCCGCCAAGAUUUCUUAAAUAACAAAUAUUUUCGGCAACCUCCCCCUAAGAAGACAUAGCUUUUUCCUUGUCUUGACAUUAAAAAACACUGAGUGAGGGUUAUCGGCUGAAUAUAUUCACUAAGGGCAUGCACAAAAGAGAGUUGCCUAUUAUUAUUUUACAAUGCUUUCAGAAUUUAGUUUGAUAUUGGUUUAAUUCGUAAUUCAUAAUUUACCGAGAAAUACCACUACGAAGUCAAGCAACCCUAAACUUGACCGUUAUGGCUGCAUGCAUCAAUGUAUGCCGUGGGCCGCGGGGGGUCUUGUUUGGAAAAUAAUAAUGAUCUUAUAGUGCAAUGAUUGGUCAUUGCCUAAGGUAUUUCCCUCCGUUCCAAGAUACAAGGUGCAUUUUUUAUUAAAAAAACAAAAUUCCCUAUGUUUGACCAAAUUUAAAAUAAAACGUCUCUGUGUUUGGAAACCAUUUAUUUUUAUAAGCUCGAUCAAACAUAGAAGAUUUGACUUCAGAAAAAAAAAUUAGUACAACUUAUAUUUUGAAACGGGAGUUAGUAGGUACACCAAUAAUUCGAUAUACCCACAAAUGCUGGCUGUAGUUCCUUUCAUGGCUCCGUUGAUGUAAGAAAGAUGCUAGUAGAGACUAGAGACAAAGGGAAUCAAAUUAUGGGAGGAGGCGGCCCUAUCUAUAUUCCUCUUCCCCACGCGGUUGCUCCCGUCCAUCCUUUCCCAAAAGUGGAGCAUCUCUCAUUUCCUUCUUCAUCUUCUCCUCCUCAUCCUUCCUUGCUCACUCGCCUAUAAAUAGCCCUCGCUGCCUGCCAUUGUUAAGCCAGCAAGCAAGAAGCACAAAAGAGUCCAACACCAAUCAAGGCCUCCAUCCAAUCCCAAGCAACCUCGAAGAUGUCUUGCUGCGGAGGAAGCUGCGGCUGCGGCAGCGCCUGCAAGUGCGGCAACGGCUGCGGCGGCUGCAACAUGUACCCGGAGGCUGAGGCCGCCGGCGCCACCCUCCUCGUCUCUGCCACCGCCACCCACAAGGCGUAAGUUCCUUCUCUUAACAAAAUUUCCUCGUCAACUCAUACAUCAUCAUGCACUCGAUCGUAAUAAUAUGACUGUAUGUUGAUCUUGGUAUGGAUGGAUGGAUGCAGGAGCUCCAGCGGGAUGGAGAUGGCGGCGGAGAACGGCGGCUGCGGCUGCACCCAGUGCAAGUGCGGCACCAGCUGCGGCUGCUCCUGCUGCAGCUGCUAGAUCAUUGAUCAUCGAUCAUCGACCAUGCAUGCACCUGCCGCGCGCGUGCAUCAUAUCUAUGAUCGAUCGGUCCAUCUACUACCAUGUGUAACGCCACCUGGUCGAGGGUCUUUGUAUGUAUGUAAGCACCUGCCAGCAUGAGCAGAGCAGGUGCACUCCCAUGCAUGUAAACCGACCCCUAAAUAAAAUCUCCCGUGGUUUAACCUAUACAUGUGUUUGUGUUAUAGACCAGCUUCUGGCCCGUGUUUACUAUCAACUUGCGACGUGCAUGGGUUGUUAAUAGACCAGCUGAAUGCUCUCUUGAAGCAAUGUAUGCACCGCCUUGGAAUCGGUGUAUCUUUAUACACCUGUAUUUAUUUUACAAGGUGUAUAUCAUCGGCCACACCUGGUAAAAAACGAUGGAUGGAGAAGGGUAAAUUUACAGGGGUAUUGCUCUGUGAAACGAGAAUCCAAUCAGGGCCGUAGUGUUUGAUACGUGUGAAUAUUACUGCCCGAAGUUGAGUAUGAGAUACAUAUACAAAGUUAACACUUAUUGUCUCGCCUUAGUUUUUUUGUUUUCCAGAGAAAUUUCCAAUCUAUUCAUCAAUCAUAGCAGUAUAGACCAUAGAGAACACCAGAGGUAAUAAAAAUUACAACUAGGUCCAUAGACCACCUAGCAACGACUACACGCACUGCAGCGAGCCGAAGGCGUGCCGCCUUCAUCGCCCCUCCCUCACCAGAGCCGAGCAAACCUUGUUAUAGUAGACAGUCGGCAAGUCGUCGUGCUAAGGCCCCAAAGAACCAGGCACCAGAGUAGCAAUCAUCGCUGAUGAAGAGAGUUGUAGAUCAGAAAGAUCAAACCUGUAACCACACGAACGAAGACGAACAAAAAUUGGAUCCAAAUAGAUCCACUGAAGACCAGCACUGACCAAAUCCUGUGAGAUCCGACAGAAACACACCUCCAAAUAUCCGACGACGACGCUAUUCACACCAUCAGGACGGGGAUUGGACGUGGGAGACAUUAUUCCUCCUAAGGGACACCGUCACCGCCACCGCUACACAGUUCGAACCAAGACGUUAAACCUAACAAAAAUGAGAACGGGGUCCCUCCCGCUGGCGCGGGGCCGAGAUCUCCGCACCUCCACGGCCCAAAAGCCAUCAGAGAUGGAGCGGAUCGGCGGCGGCACCGGCACGAGGAGAAACUAGACUUUUCUUGAGGAGAAGCAAAGAGAGAAUCGUAUUGCUGUCUAAAUUACCGCGUCUUAGUUCACUGUACUAUUUGCACCAGCUGUAGUACUUCAUAACUAGAUUGCCAUGGUUGACGAUGGGCGUGUUCCCCUUACUCGUAGUGUAGUAGUGCCCUAGCGGCGACAUCUAUAUCAUGAACAAUUAAAACAUCACGAAAUCGAUGGCGUGAUGACUUAUGCCUUGGUGCCUAUAUCAUACGCUUUUUUUGUGAUGAUGACAAAGAAACAAGCAUUAUUAUUUCCGGAUGUUAAAUGGAAAGAGUGAAUCUCAUGUAUAUCGUACUGGUAAAACAAAAUUUAAAACAUUGGAUUCGCUGAUGAUUUCCUUGAUAUAAAAUUUGAGGUGUGCUCUACAACACCCCAUCCCACCCGGGAGCUCCUAUUUGGCACGCUAUGCGAUAGUAAUCGAGCCAGUGGGCAUCCCCUUCCCCUGCGUGCCCUUUUGAGCCGGCCCAUUCGCGGGGCAAGACGCGCCGUUUUUUUUUCUGUUUUUUGUUUUAUUUCUUUUUAAAGUAAUAUAGGAUUUCAAAAAAAGUUCCAAAUUUUCCAAAAUUGUCAAUUUUUGAAAAAAUAUUAAAGAAAUCAUAAAAUGUUUGUGCAUUCAAGAAAAUGAUCGUAAUUUGAAAGACAUGUUCGCAUAUUGAAAAAUGUUCAUGAUUUUGAACAAAAUGUUCGCAAAUUCAAAAAAUGUCAAAAAAAUAAAAUAUGAUUCUCAAUUACAAAGAUGUUCGUUGAUUCAAAAAAUUUAAAUUAAUUUCGAAAAUUGUUCGUCAAACAAAUAAUGUUCAUGAAUGUCAGAAAUUCUUCCCAGAUUUCAAAAAAUAUUUGCCGAUUCAAAAAUUAUUCACUGACUCAAAUGUUCACGAGUUUCAAAAAAAAUGUUCACAAUUUAGAAAAAGAUGUUCUCAAUAAAAAAAUGGGAAUUCAACAAAUGUUCACGAUUAAAUAAAAUGUUCACGAAUUUGUAAGCAUGUUCGUGAGUUUGAAAACUAUUCAUAAUUUCAUAAAACAAUGUUCGUGAAAUUGAAAAGUGAUCACAAUUUCAAAUAAUGUUAAAAUUUCAUUAAAAAAUUCAUGAAUUUUAAAAUAAGUUCAAAAAUUUAAAAAGAAAAAGGGAAAAAAGAAAGUAAAAACUAAGAUGGAAAAAAGAAAUAAUCUAAUAAAGUAAAAACAUGAAAUAAAAAUAAAUGGAAAAACAAGAAUAACCCAAUAGGAAAGAAAUAAAAAAAAAACAGGUCUGCAAAGGUGUUAGAACCUUCCCAAAACCGAAAAGGAGCUACUUGGGCCGGCCCAAAAUGUGUACCUAGCGCGGGACGGGGNNNNNNNNNNNNNNNNNNNNNNNNNNNNNNNNNNNNNNNNNNNNNNNNNNNNNNNNNNNNNNNNNNNNNNNNNNNNNNNNNNNNNNNNNNNNNNNNNNNNNNNNNNNNNNNNNNNNNNNNNNNNNNNNNNNNNNNNNNNNNNNNNNNNNNNNNNNNNNNNNNNNNNNNNNNNNNNNNNNNNNNNNNNNNNGCUUCGCAAUUUUUGAGCAGAUCAAUGGUCUAGAUUAAAACAUGCCCUUUACUUAGGAAGGGUAAUAUAGAAACUUCACAUGAUAAGAACUCUUGAGAAAAAGAUGACCGGCGCUCAAGAAACCCAUGGCAGCCUAUGCAACUUGUUUGGAGCAGCCAUGUUCGUCUACUUCCUAGCCUAAUCCACUACCCUGGUCGUCCAUGUAUCUAUCAGAGUAGGUUGCAACAGAACACUAGGUUGGCUGACGAAACCAAUGCAGUCCAAUCCCUUAUUGAACUUAAAGUCUAUAUAUAUGUAGUUAGGAGUUUCCUAACUAAAGCACGCGGUUUAACUUGAUAGAUGUAAUAAGAUUCAACUCGAUAAUCAUUUAAUUCCUAAUGGUUUCACAAAAAUAUAGUUACAAUAACUAACUCAAACGAAAUAUAGGCAAACAAUCAAACAUCGAAUGACUCCACAUGGCUUCCAAAUAAAACUAAUUAACAAUCAAGUAAUAAAUUGUUUAUUCCUUGCUCUCAAUAUGAUGUUAUACAUAACAUACUUUGGUCCAUCCUGAAGUAACUACUAGCCAGUAUUUCAGUCUCUACUAGCAAAUGUUGCAAUAGCAAAUAGCCUUGAUGGCGUUUUUCUUCUCACAAUGGUAGUCCUUGAGGCUGCCCUUCCUAUCACGUGCAAACACCUCGCAUGUGGCCUUGCACAGCGGCUUGGUGCAGAAAAACUCCCCGCCGUCGUCAACGACCGUGCAACUAUCUGUACAACACCAAGAAAAUACAAACCAUUAUAUUAGAAGAUUAGCGGCAAACCCCCAUUAGAUUAGAUUAUACUUGUUUGAUGGACAUAAUUAAACAUACCUGCAGAAAUAGGAGUACCCACAAGUGCUAGCACCACUAGGAAGCAAACAAUAGCAGCCCGUGUGUCCAUCCCAAGGGUGUUCUCUCCUUUUUUGAACUAGGAAGGAAAAUAUGUGUUCUCUUCGUCUGUUUUAAUUUGGCUAUGGGACUAAUGUUUAUGUCUUGGAGUGUUGUCUUAUAUUGGCCUAUUAAAAGGGACAAAAAUUAAAGCAUUUAAACACUUGUUAAACUUAGCAAACGAGAUAGAGGUGAGUCACACCCCAGAAAUGGAAGCACUUAAUGUUAGGUGAGAAAUUAAAUGACAAAAGGCAAAGAAUAUAUGAGUAAUGUUUAUCCAAUAAUUACGGGCUUUAAUUUUAUACUACAAAAUAAGCAUGACCAUUCAAAAAAAAUGGAGUCAUCUUUUGUCGCCGGUGACAUUGAUCAAACAUUCUUUUUAUUACAAAAAAUGUCUAGCCACUUUAAUCGCAAACGCCAUUGUGCAUUGAAAUUCAAUUGACUUCAACAAAACAAUUAAUAUGAAUUGCAUGCUUCAUAUGCAACUAGCUAAACCUAAAAUUGUAUGUUGUCUUGAGUUGACUAAAUCACCAUGUUUGACUAGGCCUUGUUUAAAACUGUGUAAAUUUGCACGGCGCUGGGGAUGCUCGACCGGCAAAGGUUGUCCGGUGGAACGGAAUAUUUGUGAAGAAGGACUGGAAUCAGAUCUCGCCCGAGCCGCUCUCGCGGGCGGCAGGGCGAAAACCUAGCCGUCGCCCGCCAGCUCCCCCUCCCCGCCUCUUCCCCUCCCCGCCGCCGCCGGAGGGCGCCACCAGGCGAAGCCCGGCUGGCGUCGGUGNNNNNNNNNNNNNNNNNNNNNNNNNNNNNNNNNNNNNNNNNNNNNNNNNNNNNNNNNNNNNNNNNNNNNNNNNNNNNNNNNNNNNNNNNNNNNNNNNNNNNNNNNNNNNNNNNNNNNNNNNNNNNNNNNNNNNNNNNNNNNNNNNNNNNNNNNNNNNNNNNNNNNNNNNNNNNNNNNNNNNNNNNNNNNNNNNNNNNNNNNNNNNNNNNNNNNNNNNNNNNNNNNNNNNNNNNNNNNNNNNNNNNNNNNNNNNNNNNNNNNNNNNNNNNNNNNNNNNNNNNNNNNNNNNNNNNNNNNNNNNNNNNNNNNNNNNNNNNNNNNNNNNNNNNNNNNNNNNNNNNNNNNNNNNNNNNNNNNNNNNNNNNNNNNNNNNNNNNNNNNNNNNNNNNNNNNNNNGGGGCGUGCUGGCUUGGGGGCGGCGGGGCAGUAGUGGCUGCUUCGUUAGAUCCGGUGGCCAGCGACGAGGGCUGCGGCGGCGCGGGCUGGGGGCGGCUGCCGGCUUGGCUGGGCCGGCCCCUGGCGUGGUGGAGCUGCUCAUCCAUGGGGUGGCUGCGUCGGGCGGAUCGCGCGGGAUGGCCCCGGUUGGAUCCCGCGGGAUCUGGCGCUGGGGUUCCUUCCAGCGGCGAGGGCUGGGUUCUGCAGGAGCCGCGGGCGGCCGGCGCUGCCGUGCUUAGGGGUGGCAGUGCUGGUGGCGUGGUUGUGGCGGUGGCGGUGCGUGUGCGUCCUGGGGUCCGGCCGGGUCUCCGUCCCGGCUGGGGCGUGCGGCGCGGGCAGGCUGUUUGUGGUUCUUCCUUGGAUGCGGUGGCGGUGGUUCUCUCCCCCUCUUCGACGAACGCGCGCCGUCAGUGGCCUCUCGCUAGUUGGUGCCAAUGGCCGUGGUGGGGCGAAGCAGAGUGCUUCGGGUGGGAAGGCCAGUAGGAUGGGGGCUUCGACGAGGUCGAGCCGCCCGUCGCCGUGCUUGUUGGUUGCUGACUCGGUGCUCUGAGGCGGGACGGUCGUUGCAGUUUUCGGCGAUGGUUGGGGUUUGCACUGGCCAAAGCUUGCUCCUUUGAUGAUUCCAGGACGGUCUGGAUGCAGGGCGGCGGCCCUGGCGGUGGGAGGCGUGUUGAUCUUGGGCGGAUUGCGCGGCUCGGGUGCGGGCGGGCAGACAUGGCUGCUCGGGCGGCAUGGAUGCGGGUGGUUGGCGGAGUGAGGUUGCGUUGGAGGGAUUGGUGCACCGGGGUACAUCACUUGUCCAGUCUCUGUACUGGCCGACGGUGGCGGCGUCCGUGGACGUCGUACCCUCCCUGUAGGCUCCGUCGCGGUGCUCCCUCUCCCUUCAGGUUACUCCGGGUGAAAACUUGAUCCGCGGGAUCAGACGGUGGCGGCUUUGGUCGUUCCCUUGUUGGAGGCAUCGUUUUGGAGUCCUCGCUCCGCCGUUGGCCGUCUCAUUUCUCCUCGGAGGAUUGCUCAUGGUGAUCUCCGUCGGCUCUAAGCGACGCUUCUUUGUUCAUCUUUUUGGUGCUUUGUAGUCGUUGGAGUGGUGGGUUGGUGCCCGGCACCCUUGUAUCUAGCCUUGGGUGUGUGGUGUGGUAGUGGGGUGUGUGUUUGUAUCGGCUCGCGGUUGUAAUCGGUGGUGCUUUAUAAUAUAAAGCGGGGUAAACCCUUUUUCGUAAUGCAUUGUCAAAUCUUGCACUAUUUUGAACCACCACAAGAUAAGCAAGCUGAGUUGGCCCCAUGCCUCUUGCCAGUCGCUGGCGUCCACCUCAAAAUCUAUAUCAAUAUAUUUUUUGUGUCGCAUGACUCAUAUAGUAUUGGUCUAAUUGAUGGUCAAAGUUAAAUCCCAAUGUGCAUGUGUGCUUUAUAAACUAUAAUAGCGAGAGUACAUGUGUAUUAUGGGAUGAUGUAAAAUUUUAUUUUGGAGAUACAAAAUAUCUUUUCCCUCAUUGCAAAGUAUAAAUGAAAAAUCGGCACAACAAUAUUAUAUAGACCCAUCACAACAAUAGCAUGCUUCACACCGGGUGGGUCCCAUGUAAAAAUACAUUUGUAAAUACCUCGAAAACGCAUAUGUGUAUUAUUUAUUCUGCAGAUUCCACAUGUUCACUCACAACAAAUUGUUGAAGAAUUCCGUGCAACUUAGAAACCAGCGCAUGCAACAAUGCGAGCACAACAUUUGUGUUAAGACUCCCAAAAUUACAUUGCAUUGUAGCAUGUCACACAUGUGUAUGUAGUAUGACGCAAAUGAGUUCACGGCAUACCAAAACAAUGAAUGGAAACUACAAAAAAUCCCAUAAAUCUAAAAUUUUACAACCAAAAUUUUUGUCUUUUUAGGGAAACCAAUUUGGUGGACACCGACCUCACCUCAUCAAGCAUGUUCUAAUAUUCUAGUUAGUUUAGAGUUUUGGAUUAAGUUAAAGUUGCUCUAGUAUUAUACCACAACAAAAGGGAAAGAAAUGGGGGAAAACAAAGUAGAGCAGAGCGCGGUGGGGCAGCUUACUUGGAUCUAAGCCGACCAAUAUCAAUCGAAUUGCCCUCCUAAAUCCUGGUUAUUCAAGCCAACCCACAAUUGAGGGGCAACUAAAAUAGAAGUUGAGACUAUGGUGCAAGAACAGAAAAGCCGCCCUAAGCCAUUGGAUUGGAUAUGGAUGGCACAUGAUCUGGUUGAGAGAUCUCAGGCCACUUAAUGUAUACUUUAUGAAAACCCCCUAUUAACAGUUAGGUAUAAAACAAAACAUUUGCAGUGACCACCUAAAGUAUCUCAACUCCCAAUCCAAUAGUGGAGUUCAGCGACCAUUCACAGAUUUGCAGUUUUGUCCAAUGACCAUUUAUAGAACUAGAUCAUUUCCCGCACGUUGCGGCGGGUAGCCUAUAAAUUAAUUGUGUAAAUAUGUACUUGGUUUGACCUAGAAGAGAUAACCAAAAGUAUAAUCUUAUCUCAAAACUGUGACUCCUUGGUCUGGCAGUUUGAGGCUUCUGGACAAUACUCUUCUAGCUCCUUAUACACCAUUGUCAAUUUUAGAGGGGUAAUCCCAGUUUUCCUACAUCUAGUGUGGAAACUCANNNNNNNNNNNNNNNNNNNNNNNNNNNNNNNNNNNNNNNNNNNNNNNNNNNNNNNNNNNNNNNNNNNNNNNNNNNNNNNNNNNNNNNNNNNNNNNNNNNNNNNNNNNNNNNNNNNNNNNNNNNNNNNNNNNNNNNNNNNNNNNNNNNNNNNNNNNNNNNNNNNNNNNNNNNNNNNNNNNNNNNNNNNNNNNNNNNNNNNNNNNNNNNNNNNNNNNNNNNNNNNNNNNNNNNNNNNNNNNNNNNAGGAUUCAUUGCUUUGGCUACUAUUUUUACAAUAAAAUGAGGAGUGGGGAUAAUCUGUUGAAAAGAAAUCUUUAAGAAACCUAAACACUAUGUAUUUUGCACAUGCAAAGAGACAGUUAGUCACCUCCUUUUUGAAUGUGUAGUAGCUAAAGAAAUUUGGUCCACUCCUAGCUCUAUGCUAGGAAGAUCUAUGGGCAGUAAUCGAGAAUCCAUUGCAUCCCUAUGGGUUGCUGACAAGCUGUUAGACCAUGUUAAUACCAUUUGCUCUGCUAUUCUCUGUGCUAUAUAUAUGAAAAUGUAGAAAUGACAUGAUCUUUAACGGUGUGGUAUGGAUUUCCGUCUAGCAGAUUUGGUGGCUAGUCAUAAAGCUCGUCAAGAAAGGGAAUCUAAUCUACAAGGAGCACAUGUUGGCUCCGCUGGAAGCCUUCGAAGGACAUCUACAACAACUGAUCAGACGCCCUUUCCUGCUCAAGUGGGGGUGAAUCUGAUGGACUGCACUCCUGCCAACCUCAAAUGACAGGAACCGCCUACGUGGCUGAAGCACAAGCGGCCUCGGCGGAGAGCCCGGUCCUCACGCUCGACUUCAACAUCCUGGCUUCGCUAGUUUGCAUGUCAUAGAGCUAGGCCGGCAUGGUUUGGCACUGGUAGAUGUAAGUCGUUAGCCUUUUGCAGCGUGGACUACAAAAGAUGGAUUUCCCUGUGUGGUUUUUAAGUACUUUGUGUAAGUCCUCGUGUUGGAGGGUGUUGUGGCUUUGGGUGUGUGAACUGCCUGCAAGGCUUUGUGGUACUUGGGUUUUUGUGGCUUCCUUUCCUUAAUACUCCCUCCGUUCCUAAAUACUUGUCUUUCUAGGUAUUUCAAAUGACUAUCACAUACGGAUGUAUGUAGACAUAUUUUAAAGUAUAGAUCCACUCAGUUUACUCCGUAUGUAGUCACUUGUUGAAAUGCCUAGAAAGACAAGUAAGGAACGGAGGGAGUAAAAUGGGAGCCGGGGAACUCCUCCCUUUCAUCUAAAAAGAAAAGCUCCCCUUGCCAAAAAAAAAACAUUUUUAAGCCAACAAUAGCACGCGCCCGAACUGGACCAGCCUGCGCCGCUAGCCCAGGCCCAGCAAGCAACUUGUCCUCUCGGGCGAGCGGCUGGGCCUCUGAGCACAGCCCAGCUCGGCCCCGAUACGCGCUCUCGCCUGGGUCAGUGUCGCCUCGUGCCCUAGCGGAAAACAGCAGCAGGCGUUCCGCAUCUCAACCUACUCGCCGCCGCCCGCCGCCCGCCGCCGCUAAUCUCAUCAACGUCCGUUCGUCGGGGGAGGAGGAGAGGAGAAGAGAAGAGAUGAAGCCGGUGGUGGGGAUCGUGGUUUCGAACAAGAUGCAGAAGUCGGUGGUGGUGGCGGUGGACCGCCUCUUCCACAACAAGGUGUACAACCGCUACGUGAAGCGCACCUCCAAGUUCAUGGCGCACGACGAGGCCGAGACCUGCAACAUCGGCGACAGGGUACGUCAGUAACCCAAACCGCCUGCUCCCUCCCUCUGUUGUCAACUGUCACCUUCGAUGUGAUUGUGAUGUGCCGAAUCCAGACCCAUUUCUGCAAUCUUUCUUGCAUAUUAUCGACCUGUAUCGAGUAGACCGAGCUGGACUUUCUUUGUCAAAUGAGAGUCAAGUUCAGAGAGUUCAGAUUAGGGGUCUGGGAUUAUUAUUAAAAGUGACUAGUGAAGUUUUCAAAUGAGUAUGAUGAAAUUCAGAGUUCAGAGUAGGGAUCUAUCUGGUAAUGUCAAGUGAGUAUGAAAUUUUAUUGGUUUAGAGUUCAGAAAAGAGGGCUUCCAGUUUUACUCGUGGUUAGGGGGGAUUUGGUCCAUACAGCAGAAGCUUAAUUGCAGGUUCGAACGAAUAAAUAGCACAAUUGAGUCCGUCGUCUUCUCUCAGCUCACCGGUUGUCUGUCUUGCUCUACUUGUACAAUUUGCUAUGCCCGUGUCAGCGGCAGCCAUACCCGUGUGCAGCGACAACCUAUAAUAUUAUCAGCUGAAGCUAGCUAGAUUGAGCAGUUUAUUUCCUUGCAUAACUCUCUUCUGUAAACUUCAAAUAAGACAGAUCUGGUUGACUUUUUUCGGCUUGUAAGCUCAAGUUUCAUUAAGCUAACUAGUUUCUUGGAGAAACCCAAUUAUUCUUUGCCAUCUUAGAGUAAACAAUAUUGCCUCUUCAAUACUUUAGUGAUGACGGUUGUUGUUACGGUAAUGGAAUUUUUUUCUCCUUCCAUCCUUCAUAACAUUCUAGGAUACCAUGGUUUCAUUUGGAAAUAUUGCUUGGACUUGGUGUUGUAUGCAUAUCAGUUCAGUUGAGGCGGUAGGUUACUCUGCAAUUUGCUCAUAAUAUGUUUUCUGCUGGACAAAUUUUGCUUUCAGCACCAAGAGAUCCACAUUACUUAGGAGCGGUUUGGUUUUAUAAAGAAGCUUGUGUGACUGCAUAUAAAUUUGUCGAAUAGACUGAUGAGUUUGCGUCGUUUUGUCCUGUGGUGUAGUCUAUUUAUCUGCGUACUUACUGGAGACUAGUAUUCUUUUUGCACUAUGAUUCAUUUAUUCACUCAAGCUGUAACAUAACGUAAACUAGAACAAUUUUCUUCUUCUUAUAAAUGAUGGUUGCAUCAAUAUUCUCCAGGUUAGGCUGGAUCCUUCUAGGCCGUUGAGCAAGAACAAGCAUUGGAUUGUUGCUGAGGUUCUUCGCAGAGCUAAGAUGUAUGUUGCGCCGCCACCUGCGCCAAAAGCUUCUGGUGCUACAACUCAACAAACUGGUACCAAGUCAUCUGCCUGAAGAUCCUCAGAGCCCAACACAAAUGCCUGUUCUUUACUGACUGACGGCAUGUCCAGAGAACCAGCUCAUCCCACUGAAUAAGCAAUGAACGGCUGGUACAAAAUGGUGGUUUAUUUGGUGCUGAUCAUGUUCAGCUUGAUAGUUUAUUUGUUUGUGAUCCGAAACUUGGUGAUCGGGAGUUUUAGUUGGACCCUAUACAUUCGAGUUUGCCCCAGUAAAAUUCAUAGGGCAACUUAACCAUUUUCCUCAUAAUAGUCGUUCAUGCCGUGGUGGUGAUCAUGCCGGAGCUGGGGAGAGAGCUGCCGGCCAUUCGAUGUCACUGGUAGUGGUAGCUAGCUAGUGUGCUCAUUGUGGCUGUUGUUGCUGUCCACCGAUGACAUUAAAUUCCUGGCAGCAGAAUUUCAAGCUUGCUCUCUUGUGAAACGUUUGAUGAAUGUACCGCACGAAGCCUGUCCACCGAAUAUAUGCUCUUGGUUAGAUCUAUCAUCAUGGUGUGAUCCCAGAUCUUAUGCGGGUAUACUGAUGCUACUUUCUGAUUAAAUAUGUUGGUUGUGCACCGCGAAAUAUGUGAUUGUGUGUGGGAUAUGAUGAAAAGAAGAGCUAUUCGUAUUGCAAAAAUAGUUCAUCUCUCUAUCUAUUUGAUCUUUGAAAAUAGGGAGAAUUUGUUUGGAAGAACAGUUCAGUCACAGUUAAUGUUGAGCCAACCAUUAUAUAUAAUUUGCUGGUUGGGCUAUGAACCUAAUUUAAGCAUAUAUAUAUAAGCUGCAUGAUUUUCUAGCUUUAAUGCGGCAUGAUUUUCCAGCUGAAAAUAGUUGGAUGGUUUAGUCAUCACGUUAGAUUACUGGAUCUAAAUAUUAUGUAAUCUUUUCAGAGCAACAUACCACCAAAGGUUUCGUGGUGUAGUUGGUUAUCACGUCAGUCUAACACACUGAAGGUCUCCGGUUCGAACCCGGGCGAAGCCAUCUAAUUUAUUUUUCUUUUUUUAUUCUCGCAUUUUCCAAUGAGUAAAAAAAAGAAAAAAAAAAUAUUUGGCCCAUACAGGUCUCGAACCUGUGACCUUCGCGUUAUUAGCACGACGCUCUAACCAGCUGAGCUAAUAGGCCUCCUUGUUGCUUGAACUGUUUUUCAUUUUUCAUAUUCGUAUUAACUGAAUAAAACUCGCGCACAGCCCCCCUUAUGAUGAGAAGAAAAGAGUAAGAAGAUCACUGGAGCCUCUUUUGGCUGCUAAGCUGAUGCUAUGAAUCAAAAGAAAAUCCAUCUCUGCUCCAACCGAUCUGCGAAAUGCAACAACAAAUCUUGGUCCUUGGCUAUCUAGAUUCCCGUUUCACUGCCCACGUUUGUAAGUAUUUCCUAGCUAUUGUGGCCUUUUUGCCAUCUGUAUCUGUGAAUCUGUGAUGGAUAUGUAUGCAAAUCAUCUUGCAACAACUACAUAGUGAUAACGGAAAUAUGUGCAAGCGGGCAAGUAAUGACAGCUACAAAUACCCACUAUAAGCGAUUCAAGAGAAAAGACUCGCCCUGCUACAGAAGCGAUGACACUUGUUGAGUAAGUAGGAACAGAGCAGCAUGAAUGGCGCGAAAUUCGUGCAGUUACACUUGCAGACGAACAAAACAAAAGCACCCGACCAGCUAAGGUUUAGAAAAUUCAGCAAGUGGAAUCUUUUUAUUCCAGAAGAAAGGAUGGUUGCAGGAAAAAGAAUCUAAAAAAAAGGGGAAAUUUGGAAAGUAUUGGUGAAGUGUUUUUUUUUUUUGUAUUCCAGAAGAAAGGAUGGUUGCAGGAAUUGUUUUUAAAAAUAAUCUGGAGAAAAGCAAAAAAGAAAAAAGAAAAUUGGGGCGAGAGAGACUCGAACUCUCGACCUCAGGAUCACUCGCUUUAGCUAUGAGACCUACGCGCUAGCCAACUGCGCCACCGCCCCUUUGUAGUGACUUCUCAAAUUAACCUUAUUGAACCUUGGUAUCUCUCAUAUGUGCUUUCAUCGAUACAGCAAUGAUCAAUCAGUUCGUGGAGCCUACUUCGGUAUAGGUCGUGCCAUCAAAGUGUACUUUCGGGGCACAAACAACGUAUGUGAUCAAGCCUAUGCACUUGUUUUGUUCAAUUUCAUGUCCCAGCAAAUUAAACAAAACUAGUCAGGAAUGAAAACAGAUAGUGGCCGGCAAGCGGUCAUAACAAAAUAUUUUUUUCAUAACAUGAUCCAUGCAUGGAUACAUCGAUCCCGUCUCACCUCACCGCAUCAAGAUAAACAUUAAUCAACGAUGCAAUACUCACCUUGGAGGAGAGAAGAUCAUGGAAGAACGUUGUUUCGUUUAUAUCCUUAUUAGCAAGGCUGAUUAGUGUGUUGAAGGAGUAGCAUACGGAACAUCGAAACUGUAGAAGUGCAUGCUCUAGCCAAUACAACCAAAAGACCGAUCUGAUGGAAGAGACUAGGCAGUACAUUAUACGUCAACACUCCCCCUCACGUGUGCUUCCCUCAGGCCUAAACGUGGACCGAAAGUGGGCUGCAAUUUAAUUGCGUCAGCCGGGUCUGAACUCAAGACCUCUUGGCUCUGAUACCAUGUAGAAGUGCAUGCUCUAGCCAAUGCAACCAAAAGACCGAUCUGAUGAAAAAGACUAGGCAGCACAUUAUACGUCAACAGAAACAAAGCAGGUCCCUUCAUUAAUUUACUGCAAAGGCAAUGCAUUUUGUUUAUUGGGCUACCAGGAGCAGCAGAGUGGAAACAAGUACUAGCAUGAAGCGUCCAAGUAAGUAGUGGGCCCCUGCUGUAAGUUUGAAACGCUGUGUCACCCUUGCCAACGUUGAAAAUAAUCGACCCGACGUGGACAGCAACAAGUCCUCUCUCCUUGUCGUCCCUUCUCCGGCGACAAGUCGAGCCUCGGGUAUGACUACGAAUCGAGCCGCGGCAGGAAGCUCUGAUUUUGGGUUGUUCUGUCAAUUUAGAGGAGGAGCUCGCCAGUAGGAAUGAUUUGGGUUGUGCUUCGGCAAUUUGUUUCAUUAAUUAGUCUGGGAAUACUAUACGUGAGAUUCUGAAUUUUAUUGUUUUAUGCUUAUGUUCAGAAUGUAGGUGCCAAUGCUUUGGAGUACUUGGGCAUCCACCAUGAACUUGAGAUUGAAGAGGGGAAAGGUGUGGCCGCUCCCGGGAGUAGAAAAUCCAGUCUCAAUUACAAUCCACUGAAAAAUAAAUUUCUGUGACUUCCCUAUGCAUGGUGCAUCAAACAUCAUUUGUUGAUUCCUACAAGCUUGUAGAAUUAAAGAUGUCAUGACACCCCAAUCCUACCAUUUUGCUAUUCACAUGUCAAUCAAAUCCUAUGAAUCAAAGAGGCCUUAAUUCAGGUUGUCUCUGUUCGGCAGGAGCGGAUGGUAUAAAUUGUAACACAAUGAUUAAUCAUUAUGUUGAUAUUUUUUAAAUGAAUCAUUUAAUAUAUAGACGUGCAAAUAUAUCAAGUAAGCAAGAGAAUGUAUCAUUAUGUUGAUGUUAAUAUAUAGACGUGCAAAUAUAUGUUGAACCUAAAAGCAUAAAAAAAAUCAAUGAAGCAUCUCCAACGCUUGCUUAAUCUCGGUUUCUCAGUAAUUUUUUCAGUACCAGUUUAAAAUACUCUCCGUGAAUAAAUAUAAGAGCGUUCAGAUCACUAAAAUAGUGUUCUAAUUGCUCUUAUAUUUCUUUACAGAGGGAGUAGUUGAUUGAUUAAAAUAUCAGCUAUAGCUUCCAUCAAACCGUUCUUUUUUCUCACGAAUCCGAAAAUUGUCAUUACUCGUCUUUGACCUGAACUUUCCUUUUGUAAACUUUGCAGUUAUAGCGCAGUACAAAUUUUUGGAGCAUCGUCCAAAUCAAAAAAAAAAAAAAAAUCUCAUUUUACAUGUAUCCAGAUGGUCUGAAAUUCUAAACCGUAUCAGGUUUAAUUUUGUGGACCACUCUCUCAUCCUGUUUAAGCAACUCAGCCUAGAUUUUGCAUGUACAAACACUUCAUUUCAUCUCAUCCAUGCGUAAAUUUUAAAUUGUGACCUACUAUUCAAUUGAAUUUCAGGACUUUUUCGAGAUUUUGGCAUAUCAAACUUCCAGUCCCCAGCCGCCCUACUCUGUAUCACGUCGAUGUGCACUCUUGCUGCUGCGGUAGCCUUUGACAUGGGUAGCCUCUCCACACCUGCACUCGCAUAUAUUGAUACAUAGUACAUAUUUACAGAUGCACAAGGCAACCAUCCUAGCCGAUGCAAAGCAGCAAUCAGCAAGAUACUCCUAUUGCAAGGGAACUGUAGCAAGAUACACAUCGCUAUUUGGCUGAAAACAACCUUUGAAGCAAAACUUACAAUCACUCACUCAUAGAACCAGGUGUAAAGACACUUGGCAGGUUGUGGCAUCAGACCUCAGUAAGGCCCAAAAAAAUAUAAGAGCAAUGCCUUGAGUGAAUAGAAGUAGUACUCUAGAGUUAUGCUGGAACCACUAGCAGAGUAAACAAACAGAGUCCAUGGAAAAUCUUCAAGUAAGACGAGCUAAACAUUCUUUCUGCUAUAAUUAUUCUUGUAAGAAAUAAAACGCAGUCCAGAAAAUUAAGGUGAUUCAAGUGCUUGUGCUUCAACAAUGCCCUCAUCCCACCGUCCUUGAACCCACCUGAAAAGUUAUGAACAGAGUGAGAUAAACAGCUGGGAAAGUGACACAAAGUAAGUAUCGCACAAAACCAGAAAGCCCCAUGAUCUUUGCAACCAUACUGAAAACACAUUUAACAAGCCAAGCUUCUAUAUUUAUUUCAUAACCAUCGACAACAAUCCCACUCAUUUAUGGCCAUACAUCUCAAUUGCAUUCUCAUUCUAACCAAGAUAAGAUGUCAUAGCACAGAUGCUUAACAGGCUGGCUCAGUCUUUGUCUGCAGUCUGACAUAUCACACAGAGUUUACAAAGAGAUGUAGCUCAAUUGCACAGGAAGGAGAAUUCACUUUAACCCAACCCCAAUAAGAGAAGUAAAAUAUGGGAUAUUGAUCGCAAAUAUUGAACGUCACAGUCACCUGCCAUAACCAUGUGACAGAUUUGCCAGUGAAGAUGAAACCUGCCGUGCGGCACUAGAACCUGAGAAUUAUAAUUAUAAGGUACAGCUGCUUAAAACACUUGUCAAACUAAAAAAAUAAAAGACACGCUCUUACGAUUUGACACGUCACCUCUCUUAUAAUAUAAGUUCACUUCACAAUUUUGUAUCAUUUAUCUAUACAAACUAAUCUACAACUUUACGGUUAUCACGAAAAUUUAAUUCAAUCAUGUCCAGAGGUUGAAAUUGUGGUACAAGAUAAAUGGGCUACAGUGAAGAAAAAGAGAGUAAUGCACAUGAGAAGAGGUUGAAUUCAGAUUGCAUAACUUGUGAUCUACCCAACCAAUCUUCGUAUACUUCUGAUCUUUUUGGUAUGGUAAUGAAACUAUAUACUCCCUCCAUCAAGAAAUAUAAGAGUGUUUAGAUCACUACUUUAGUGAUCUAAAUGCUCUUAUAUUUCUUUACAGAGGGAGUACAAUCUAAUAAGAAUAUAGUUUGGAAUCUACAAUCUACCUAGACAUCCAUUUUCAAAAUGAAGACUGGAAAUUGGGCACAACAUACUAAUAGCUACUCCCUCCGUUCCAAAAUAGAUGACCCAAUUUUGUACUAAAGUUAGUACAAAGUUGAGUCAUCUAUUAUGGAACGGAGGGAGUAAAAGAUAGGCACACCAAGAUAUAUUUGUCCUGUGUUCCAUCAUUUCUCUCAAGUUAGGCUGGAAGCUAAAUACAGGCAACACAGAUUGUUGUGCAACAAGACCCAAGUUAGCACCAACUGAAUGUUUUUAUUAUUUCCAGCCGCAACUAAAGGAAAUUUCAUUUCAUUUCAGGAUAACAAAAGAGCCUUACAAUGCAGCAAGGUAAACUUUGUGCAGUAUCAGCUGAUUGAUAUCCAAAUUCAUUUCUAAUAACAAUAUCGUAACCUCACCUUUCAUACACGCACAUUCCCUUUUCUUACUUCUUCUUCCCCUUUCCUUGACCGCCCUUCGCCAAAAUGGCCCGAUGGGGCCUCCGCCUCCGCGUAAAAGCAAACUCCCCAAGCUUAUGGCCGACCUUCCCCUCGGUGAUCUUGCAACGGACGUGAGUCUUGCCGUUGUAAAUGAGAACGGUGGAACCGACGAACUCCGGCAGAAUGGAAGACCUGCGGGACCAGAUCUUCUUGCCGUUGAGAUUCUCCCUCUUGUUCUUUAUUCUUUGCAGGAACGCGUCGACGAACGCUCCCUUCCAUAGAGGCCUUGAGCUGCACACACACACACACAGCAGGGCAGGACAUACAUUCGGUUCAAUUUCAAUGUUGAGCGGAUCAGCUAGUUAUCUGUGUUUGCACAUACGUAGUGAGCUGAGCUUGUGAUGGUGGUUACCUGAAGGCGCGAGUGACUGGUCCGAAGGCGGAGAGCAGCGGAGAUGUGGCGUGCUGGGCCCUGGGCGCCUGACCAGAUCGCGCGCGCGGUGGAACAAACCAACAAAUCAGAUCAACAUCGGCUCAGGAACAACCAAGAUUUGCAUUUGAGCAAGGGGCAAGAGUUGGAGGGGGAGGCGGCACCUGAGAGAUGGCCGCGGCGGCGGCGGGGAGGGCGUGGCCGGACCUGGCGAACCUGGAGGCGAUGAGAGAAGCAAUCGCCAUGGCUGCUGCGCUCAGGCGUGGGAUCGGCUCCCCGUAGGAGCGGGUGGCGGCGGCGUGGAAAGACGGAGAGGAGGAGGAGGAGCAAAUCUUCCUUACCUGGAACCACACUGUAAGCGGGCCGUGGCCUUUGGCCCAACCCGUCAGAUGAAGAUGGACCAGGCCUAUUUUCCUGUGUGGAAAAAAAAGGAGCUAAUCUUUGCGAUGAAGCCCCUGGACUUCGAGUAAAUUUGUAUGGCUUUAUUAACAAAGAAUUUGUUGAACUUAGCAUUGAUGGGCACAACUACCUCGCCUGGAGUUCGGAUGUUGAAAUCGUACUGCAAGAAAGAGGUUUGGGAAACACAGUCGCCGAAGGUGCAGUCGAGGGUACGCCCCCGACAAGGACCGAGAAUUUGCAGGUUCUGCAUUUUCCAGGGCAUCAUCUCUACACUAUUCUCAAGAAUGAGUACCUGUAGGAGAGGGACCCCAAGACUCCUUGGAUUUCCCUGAAGGAUAGACCAGAAACUCAGGUACACCAUUCAACCUCGUGCAGAGCAUGAGUGGAUGAACUUGAGAUUCAUGGACUUCAAAGCUGUCGUUGAGUAUAAGUCGGCACUGCAUAGGAUUUGCACAUAAUUUGGCAAAUGGUGUAUGUUUCUUGACCAGAAUUUUGCUAUGUUUCUGGUGGUGCACUUUGUUCUCAAAUUUGAGCAAACCAAACUCAUGUUUGCACCAAGUUUGGGCAAAGCACCCCCUCACUUUGUCCUAUGCACAACUUUCACAUCCUUUGUACAAUCCCAUGUAUUUUUAUAUGCAUUUGGGCCUGCUCAAACCUUGCAUUCUAGAAAUGCAAAUGGUUUUCCAAUUUGUUGCUCCCAACAUCAUUUAGUUCCUGGUUACACUUGUAGCCUUUCGAUUCUUGUUUCGAUCAUAUCUAGAGUUCUGUAACUCCAUUUGUGAUGUCCUUUAUAUGCAUUUGUAGUGGAAUUAUGUGUAUCCAUGGUCAUGCAUAGUUAAGAACUUGUACCUAUUGUUCUGUCCAGAAACAUUACAACAAUUAAUUUGCAUAUGAAGUUUCACUUGAUUUCUACCACACUUGGAUCAAGGCUUCAUUUAACUUUGCUAAGUUGUAGGUUUCCAUGUUAAGACCAUUAACUUGCCAUGCAUCAUGUUGAUUGUGCAUUAUGCCAUGCCUUGUUGUUUACCAUAUCGUCUGCUUAUUUCCAGUUUUGCUUUUUUCCCAAUAGCUCUCAGUAACGACACGUAGUGCGAGGAUUUGCUUGACUACGCUUCGUGGUUUCGAUCUUCUUCAAAACGGGAUUCCGGGCAGGAAUGAUCUUUACCUUGGAAAACAUUACUAGCUUUGUUUACUAGAUGUCCUGAUGCUAUUGUUUGGUCUCGCUACCUACCACUUGUUUGCAAGCCUCCCAUUUGCCACUUGUCUAGAAAUUGUGUUGCUUAUUUCUCUUGCCUCUUAGGCAUAUUUGCUUCUUAUCCGUACUUGGAUUGUGCCUUGUGGAUGAUGCUUGUAAUGUAAUGUUGGGUCAUGUGGCCUUUGAUUGGUGAUAUAGCUAUGUAUUACAUUUGUAUGUCAUAUGUUUAUCCUUGUAUCUCGAGUAGGGCGUUUCGGUGCCCAUGCUCAUCUGCACCCGGUUAAAAAAACAUAAAAAAUUCAAAAUAAUUUCAAAUAAUUCCAAUUUUUUUUGUGCGGUAGACAAUUUGAUGCGUGAGGCCCGCUCCAAAUUUCAAGUCAUUUGGACAUCUGAGAAGCUCUCAGAAAAAAAGACAAAUAGGGCCAAAACAGUACAUGAACAUUAAAACAUUUUUACAGACCCCUAAUUUGUCUUUUUUGCUGAGAGCUCCUCAAAUGUCCAAAUGAUGUGAAAAUUGGAGCGGACCUCACACAUCAAAUUGUCUACCACAAAAAAAUUAGAAUUUUUUGAAUUUUUCUAGUAUUUGUUUUGAUUUUUUUCGCCAGCACGGGUGCAGAUGAGCUCGGGUGCAUAGAUGGAUUUUCGUUGUAUCUCAUCUUUUCAUGUGUAGUUGUAUUUGUUGUGAUGUCCACCUUGUUUCUGACAUGUUACACUUGCGUGUAUGAUAUUAGUCACAUGUUGGGGCAACCGAUAUGCGCUUCUAUCCUUAGCGAGGAUUGAAAAAUGUUCAAUGAGACUAGGACCGCAUGUUGGGCGUUACACAACAGUAAGGCAAGAUGCAUCUGAAAUAGUCACACACUUUGCGUGGGAUAUGAACGUGUUGCUAAAGUCAGUCAUUUACCAACUACAGCCAUUAAAACAACUCCCAUAACAUGGGCUAUUGUGGUCUAGGGUUAGAGAAGGGCCGAGGGAGGCUUCGGAUACCUCCUAGUCAUGGUUGAAAAGUUCAACAAGUUGAAAGAGGCAAAGCCGGUAACUAGGCAAGCUAUCGAGCCGGCCAGCAAGUUCCUAUCAGGUGUCCUACACCGUUACGGCAUGCCCCAUAGCAUCAGCACGGACAACAGGAGGAAUUUCACGUCCAAACAGUUCAAAUAUUAUUGCGCUUCAUGCAGCAUUACAUUAAACUUUGCUUCUGUGGCGCAUCCGCAAUCCAAUGGGUGUAUCGAGCAGGCAAAUGGGUUGUUCCUUAGUGGAUUAAAAAUGGUGUUGGUCACAUCAAAGGAAGCCGACGGGAAGUGGAUGAACGAGCUCGAUUCUGUCCUGUGGAGCCUCGCGACUACGCUAACUGACCUACCGACUACACUCCUUUUAUGGUAUAUGCAUCAAAGCCAUCCUUCUCAGUGACAUCAAACACGAUGCUCCCCGACUACAUCGCUACAUGGAGCAUGGCGCUGAGCUGGAGUGUCAGGAUGACAUAGAUCCCCUGGAGGAAGCACGGGGGAUCGCAGUAGCCAGAUUGGAUAUCUACUAGCAUCAACUUCGCCGCUAUCAAGCGCGUGAGGUAUGAGGCUAGGCAUUCAACAUCGGCGACCUCAUUUUACGUAUGAUACAGGACACGAAGGGGCUUGACAACCUUUCUCCGCCAAGGUACGGACCCUUGAUCAUGCACAAAGUGCUAUAGAAUGGAGCAUACUGUAUUCGAUGCAUUGAGACCGUCUUCCUCGCGACGAACCCCUGGAACAUUGCCCUGCUAUGUUGCUUUUAUGCUUAGUUCUUUUUAUUUUUAGUUUAGAUUAUUGUUUAGCUCAAUCCAGACAUUAUUGUAUGAAUUAAAUGAAGUUUAUCUGUCCCCAAGUCGAAGAAUCAUAUAUGCUUGCUACCUCUUGAGCACUGCGUUGUUUUUUCCCUUGAAGAGGAAAUGGUGAUGCAGUAAAGUAGCGUAAGUAUUUCCCUCAGUUUUGAGAACCAAGGUAUCAAUCCAGUAGGAGACCACGCUCAAGUCCCUCGCACCUACACAAACAAAUAAGAACCUCGCAACCAACGCGAUAAAGGGGUUGUCAAUCCCUUUACGUUCACUUACGAGAGUGAGAUCUGAUAGAUAUGAUAAGAUAAUAUUUUUGGUAUUUGUAUGAUAAAGAGAAAUAAAGAUGCAAAGCAAAAUAAAAGGCAAUGGAAAUAGCUAAGUGUUGGAAGAUUAAUAUGAUGGAGAAUAGACCCGGGGGCCAUAGGUUUCACUAGUGGCUUCUCUCAAGAGCAUAAGUAUUACGGUGGGUGAACAAAUUACUGUCGAGCAAUUGAUAGAAUUGACCAUAGUUAUGAAAAUAUCUAGGUAUGAUCAUGUAUAUAGGCAUCACGUCCGUGACAAGUAGACCGACUCCUGCCUGCAUCUACUACUAUUACUCCACACAUCGACCGCUAUCCAGCAUGCAUCUAGAGUAUUAAGUUCAUAAGAACGGAGUAACGCUUUAAGCAAGAUGACAUGAUGUAGAGGGAUAAACUCAUGCAAUACGAUAUAAACCCCAUCUUGUUAUCCUCGAUGGCAACAAUACAAUACGUGCCUUGCUGCCCCUGCUGUCACUGGGAAAGGACACCGCAAGAUUGAACUCAAAGCUAAGCACUUCUCCCAUUGCAAGAAAGAUCAAUCUAGUAGGCCAAACCAAACUGAUAAUUCGAAGAGACUUGCAAAGAUAACCAAUCAUACAUAAAAGCAUUCAGAGAAGAUUCAAAUAUUGUUCAUAGAUAAUCUUGAUCAUAAACCCACAAUUCAUCGGAUCUCGACAAACACACCGCAAAAGAAGAUUACAUCGAAUAGAUCUCCACGAGAAUCGUGGAGAACUUUGUAUUGAGAUCCAAAGAGAGAGAAAAAGCCAUCUAGCUAAUAACUAUGGACCCAAAGGUCUGAGGUAAACUACUCACACAUCAUCGGAGAGGCUAUGGUGUUGAUGUAGAAGCCCUCCGUGAUCAAUGCCCCCUCCGGCAGGACGCCGGAAAAGGCCCCAAGAUGGGAUCUCACGGGUACAGAAGGUUGCGGCGAUAGAAUUAGGUUUUCGUGGAUGCCUCUGAUGGUUUGGGGGUACGUAGGUAUAUAUAGGAGGAAGAAGUACGUCGAUGGAGCAACGUGGGCCCCAUGAGGGUGGAGGGCGUGCCUGGGGGGGGGGGGUAGGUGCGCCCCCUGCCUCGUGCUUUCCUCGUUGCUUUCUUGACGUAGACUCCAAGUCCUCUGGAUCACGUUUGUUCCGAAAAUCACGUUCCCGAAGGUUUCAUUCCGUUUGGACUCCGUUUGAUAUUCUUUUUCUGCGAAACACUGAAAUAGGAAAAAAAACAGCAAUUUGGGCUGGGCCUCCGAUUAAUAGGUUAGUCCCAAAAAUAAUAUAAAAGUGUAUAAUAAAGCCCAUUAAACAUCCAAAACAGAAUAUAAUAUAGCAUGGAACAAUCAAAAAUUAUAGAUAUGUUGGAGACGUAUCAAGCAUCCCCAAGCUUAAUUCCUGCUCGUCCUCGAGUAGGUAAAUGAUAAAAACAGAAUUUUUGAUGUGGAAUGCUACUUGGCAUAAUUUUCAAUGUAAUUAUCUUAAUUGUGGUAUGAAUGUUCAGAUCCGAAAGAUUCAAGACAAAAGUUUAAUAUUGACAUAAAAAUAAUAAUACUUCAAGCAUACUAACUAAGCAAUUAUGUCUUCUCAAAAUAACAUGGCCAAAGAAAGUUAUCCCUACAAAAUCAUAUAGUCUGGCUAUGCUCUUCAUCACAUAAAGUAUUUAAUCAUGCACAACCUCGAUGACAAGCCAAGCAAUUGUUUCAUACUUUUGGUGUUCUCAAACUUUUUCAAUCUUCAGGCAAUACAUGAGCGUGAGCCAUGGACAUAGCACUAUAUGUGGAAUAGAAUGGUGGUUGUGGAGAAGACAAAAAGGGAGAAGAUAGUCUCACAUCAACUAGGCGUAUCAACGGGCUAUGGAGAUGCCCAUCAAUAGAUAUCAAUGUGAGUGAGUAGGGAUUGCCAUGCAACGGAUGCACUAGAGCUAUAAGUAUAUGAAAGCUCAACAAAAGAAACUAAGUGGGUGUGCAUCCAACUCGCUUGCUCACGAAGACCUAGGGCAUUUUGAGGAUGCCCAUCUGUAAGUGCAUCUAGUGCCCCUAAGUGAUUUUGGUGUAUUGAAGACUUAUAGGUUAAGGGACUGAUGCGUUUGUGAGUGUACACAGGUCUAUAAGUCUAUGAGGAGUUUGAUAUUUACAGAGAAAUUCGACCCCUAAAAAUGAAGUUCUUCGAUUGAAGACUUUGGAUUUCUGAAGACUUUCUGAAGACUUCGAAAGUGAAGAAAUUGGUGUGACCUUGAAGACUUGGUAUUCAUUCGAGGAACAUGAAGCGUGAAGACUUUUGUUUUCGUUGUUUCAUUUUCUUUUUCUUGAGUCACAGGAAACACCGUACUGUUAAAGGGGGUCGAGGAAAUACUAAGAAAAAAUUUCCAUGUGAUGAUCAACUCAAAAUCCUAAACCUACCAAUCCCUUCGAGUGAAGCCAUUGGAAAUCUCAUACAGUUCGGUCAAUUUCUUCAGUGACAGAGACGAAGUUAUUCUGGUCUCUAAGGAAUUUGUUCUGACUGAGGAGUUAGGAAUUCGCCAGUGUGGAUUGGCUACACAGUGAGGAACAUGAUAGCCCUGAGGAAUUUGAUAGUCAAAUUUCCGACCGUUGCUGUGCUACGCGCCAGCUGUCCCAAAAUAUCUACCCACCUAACGGUCAUAUCAUUGAAGGGCAUUUAUGUCUUAUCAUGUCGGGCUGCUCCCUAGGCUAUAAAUAGCCGCCCCCUACAACCACUAGCUGGUUGGCUGCUCCGAGAGAAACUGACACUUGUCAUUUGAGAGCAUCCCAUCCUCCGAGGACUUUGAGCGAAAAUCAUCAAGUGAGGAAACCCAAACCCAAACACCUACAAACCCAAAGUGAUUGAGCAUCACUGAAGAGAUUGAUCCUACGUGGAUCCGACGCUUGUUACCUUUGAAGACUGUGCUUCUUCCAGACGGUUAGGCGUCAUGGUCUAGAGCAUCCAAGAGGAAUUGUGGAUCGCCGAGUGACCGAGUCUGUGAAGGUUUGGAAGUCACCUGAAGACUUACCACGAGUGAUUGGGCGAGGUCUGUGUGACCUUAGCUCAAGGAGAAUACAGUGAGGACUGUGUGUCCUCAGGUUUAAAUACCUAGCCGCUCCAACCAGACAUACAAGUGAGACAGCAAUUGGAACUGGUCUACCAAAUCAUUGUCUUCACCAAGCUUACUGGUUCUAUUUCCUCAACUCUUUCAUUUCCUCAUAACUGUGUUGUGCACUUGUUCAUAUCUGUGUUUGAAGACUUUGACUGAAGACUUUCUCAAUUUCCUCAGUUCAAUUUCUUCAGUCUGUUUGUCUUCAUCCUGUGUCAUCCUGUGUUUACACUCUCUGUACUCCGUGCUUGUCUUCAUUUCGUCAUGAUGACCAUGCUUGUGUUCUGUUAUGUUUAUUUUGAUUACUUAUUCCGCUGCAAGUAGUUCUUCACUAAGGAAUUUCCUCACCAGCAAAUUCCUCAGUGAAGAAUUCAUAAAAAUCACCUAUUCACCCCCCUCUAGUCGAUAUAACGCACUUUCAAUUGGUAUCAGAGCAAGGUACUCCCUUGUUCUGUGUGAUUUUGGUUUAACCGCCUGGAGUUUUAGUUAUGUCGACCGCAGGUAUGAUCAAGGUCUCUGCUGGGUGUCCUACCUUCGAUGGGACGGACUACCCUUACUGGAAGAAUAAGAUGCGGAUGCAUCUUGAGGCAAUUGAUAACGAUCUCUGGUAUGUUGUGGAAAAUGGUGUUCCCUCAGUCACACCUUCUCUGAACGCUACUAAUGUGAAGAGAUUCAAGCAACUCGAUUCUCAAAAGAAGAACAUCAUAUGUGGUCAUCUGAGCAAAGGGCAGUAUGGAAGAGUGAGUGCUUUGGAAACUGCUAAGCUUAUCUGGGAUAGGCUGUCCAAAGUCAAUGAAGGAGUCUCAACACAGCGUGACUCUCGAGUUGACGUUCUUCGCAAUCUCUUCAACUGCUUCAAAAGACUCGACAAUGAAAAUGUUCAGCAAACCUUCGAUCGCCUCACUGACAUCUCAAAUGAGCUUCAAGCACUUGGUGCCACUGACAUCACCGACCAUGAGGUGGUGAAGAAAUUGCUGAGAUCGCUUGAUUCCUCAUUUGAUACUCUGGCAUUGAUGAUACAAGAACGUGCUGAUUACAAGUCACUUGAUCCUGCUGAUAUCCUCGAGAGGCUAAACACUCAUGAGUUCCAGCUUGCUGAGAAGAGAGAUCUCUAUGGUUUGAGCUAUGGCAGAUCACGUGCCCUGAAGGCCAAGGCUGUCUCUGAAUCUGAAGGUGAAGAUUCUGGUAGUAGCCUUGGUGAUCCUGAAGAACUGAGCCAGGAGCUAGCACUGCUCGUGAAGAAAUUCCAGAGGUUCUCAAGACGUGGUCGCUUUGGAAAAUCCUCAAGGAGCAAUGAUUCCUCAUCCAGUGACUACAAGAAGAGGCUAUGCCACAAGUGCAAGAAACCUGGUCACUACAUUCAAGAUUUUCCUCAGUGGGAAAAGGAAUCAAAGAAGAAGAAAUACAAGGAUUACAGUUCUGAUGAUGCGAAGAAGAAGAAGAAAUCUUCAAAGUCUUCAUCAUCAAAAUCCUCGAAGUCUUCGUCACACAAGAAGAGCAGCUCCAAGAAGGCUCGGGCAUUCAUUGGCAAGGAAAUGGACUCCGAGGCUGAAUCUGAGGAACAUGAGGAAGAGGAGGCAUCUGAGGAGUCUGAGCCUGGUGUGGCGAGUCUAGCUCUCGCUACUGCAUUCAUCAGCAAGUGAUACGUCUCCAACGUAUCUAUAAUUUAUGAAGUAUUCAUGCUAUUAUAUUAUCCAUCUUGGAUGUUUUAUGGGCUUUACUAUGCACUUUUAUAUGACUUUUGGGACUAACCUAUUGACCCAGAGCCCAGUGCCAGUUUUUGUUUUUUCCCUUGUUUCAGUGUUUCGAAGAAAAGGAAUAUCAAACGGAGUCGAAACGGAAUGAAACCUUCUGGAGAAGUUAUUUUCGGAAAGAAAGCAACCCGGGAGACUUGGAGUCCACGUCAAGAAAGCAAUGAGGAAGGCACGAGGCAGGGGGGCGCGCCCUCCACCCUCAUGGGCCCCUCGUGGCUCCCCUGACAUACUUCUUUCACCUUAUAUAUAUAUAUAUAUAUAUAUAUAUCCAUAUACCCUAAAAUGACCGGGGAGCAGAAUAAAUCGGGAGUUCCGCCGCCGCAAGCCUCUGUAGCCACCAAAAACCAAUCGGGACCCUAUUCCGGCACCCUGCCGGAGGGGGGAUCCCUCACCGGUGGCCAUCUUCAUCAUCCCGGCGCUCUCCAUGAUGAGGAGGGAGUAGUUCACCCUCGGGGCUGAGGGUAUGUACCAGUAGCUAUGUGUUUGAUCACUCUCUCUCGUGUUCUUGAUUUGGCACGAUCUUGAUAUAUCGCGAGCUUUGCUAUUAUAGUUGGAUCUUAUGGUGCUUCUCCCCCUCUACUCUCUUGUAAUGGAUUGAGUUUUCCCUUUGAAGUUAUCUUAUCGGAUUGAGUCUUUAAGGAUUUGAGAACACUUGAUGUAUGUCUUGCAUGUGCUUAUCUGUGGUGACAAUGGGAUAUUCACGUGAUCUACUUGCUGUAUGUUUUGGUGAUCAACUUGCGGGUUCUGUGACCUUGUGAACUUAUGCAUAGAGGUUGGCACACGUUUUCGUCUUGACUCUCCGGUAGAAACUUUGGGGCACUCUUUGAAGUACUUUGUGUUGGUUUGAAUAGAUGAAUCUGAGAUUGUGUGAUGCAUAUCGUAUAAUCAUACCCACGGAUACUUGAGGUGACAUUGGAGUAUCUAGCUGACAUUAGGGUUUUGGUUGAUUUGUGUCUUAAGGUGUUAUUCUAGUACGAACUCUUGAAUAGAUUGAUCUGAAAGAAUAACUUUGAGGUGGUUUCGUACCCUACCAUAAUCUCUUCGUUUGUUCUCCGCUAUUAGUGGCUUUGGAAUGACUCUUUGUUGCAUGUUGAGGGAUAGUUAUGUGAUCCAAUUAUGUUAUUAUUGUCGAGAGAACUUGCACUAGUGAAAGUAUCAACCCUAGGCCUUGUUUUCUAGCAUUGCAAUACCGUUUACGCUCACUUUUACCACUUGUUACCUUGCUGUUUUUAUAUUUUCAGAUUACAAAAACCUAUAUCUACCAUCCAUAUUGCACUUGUAUCACCAUCUCUUCGCCGAACUAGUGCACCUAUACAAUUUACCAUUGUAUUGGGUGUGUUGGGGACACAAGAGACUCUUUGUUAUUUGGUUGCAGGGUUGCUUGAGAGAGACCAUCUUCAUCCUACACCUCCCACGGAUUGAUAAACCUUAGGUCAUCCACUUGAGGGAAAUUUGCUACUGUCCUACAAACCUCUGCACUUGGAGGCCCAACAACGUCUACAAGAAGAAGGUUGCGUAGUAGACAUCAAGCUCUUUUCUGGCGCCGUUGCCGGGGAGGUGAGUGCUUGAAGGUAUAUCUUUAGAUCUUGCAAUCGAAUCUUUUUGUUUCUUGUUUUAUCACUAGUUUAGUCCAUAAAAGAAAACUACAAAAAAAUGGAAUUGAGGGUACCUCAUAUGCUUCAUCUUUUUAAUGUCUUUCGUGAAAAUGAUGGAAAGGAAAAUUGUGAUCAAGUGCUAGAAGAAGAAUGCAUUAAAAUGUUUGGCACUAAAUAUUUGAAUGUUGAGCAUGAUUGCAAUGUUGUUAGUAUGAAUUCCUUGAAUAUACAUGAUGCUAAUGAUAUGCAAAGCCACAAGCUUGGGGAUGCUAUGUUUGAUGAAGAUGAUAUGCACUACAAAAAAAAGACACAUCCGUGAUGUUUUGGGCCGAACGAAUUUUUUUUUCUGUCAUACAGAUGACACUUCUAUGACGAUAAUUGUGACAAAACCCGGUAUCAUCAUAGACGUGGUGGGCUCCUACUUCUAUGACAAAAAAUCAUGACAGAAAAUGGGCUUUUCGUCCUGGGCGGGCCGGAGACGCAGCUGCAUGACAUUCUUUUGGCCGUCCAUGACGGAAAAAACCGUGGUAGAAGCGAGGGCGAGGAAAAUUUCGGGGAGUUCCCAGUUACGGUGGGAGGUCGGGGGCCGAGCGAUGCGCGUUUCUCUCGUACACGUACGCGCGUGUGUGCGAGGCGUUGGCUCUAACUGAACCCGAGCGAGGCAUUGGGCUCUAACUGAACCCGAGCGAUUGCACUGCAGGCUACGCAUUACUGAACCCGAGCGAUCGAUCGAUGGCUGCUAACUGAACCCGAUCGAGCGAUUCCUUCGCUACUGCUGCUAACUGAAGUCGGUCGAUGCUGCCUCUGGAUGAACAGUGAGCGUUGUUGGGGGGUUUGGAUGAACAGUUCCCGGUGGGGGUGGAUGAACAGGACCCCGUGGUGUUGCCUCUGGAUGAACAGGACCCCGAUCGAUCGAGCCGGUUGGGGCUGGAUGAACAGGACCCCGUGGAGGGCAGGAUGAACAGGACCAUCCCAUGGAGGGCAGAAUGAACAGUAGACGGUGGAGGGCUGGAUGAACAGUAGCCCGUGGAGGGGUGGUUGAACAGGAGCCCGUGGAGAGGGCUGGUUGAACAGUAGCCGGUGGAGUAGCGCGUGGUGGAGGCUGGAUGAACAGGAGCCCGUGGAUGAACAGUCCCAGGUGGAGGCUGGAGGAGGUCGACGGUGGAUGAACAGUAGCCCGUGGAGGCUGGAGGGGGUCGACGGUGGAGAUGAACAGUGUCCUGUGGAGUCCCGUUUUGCGGUACGCCACACCCCUCCCGAUGAACAAGACCCCCGUUUCGACCGUAGCGCUCCAACACAAGUCCGUUUCCUCCAUUUUGCGGUACGCCAGACCCCUCCCGAUGAACAGGAUCCCGUUUCAAACGUGGCCGGUCGAACACAAGGCCGUUUCCUCCGUUCUGCGGUACGCCAGGCCUCGUUUUCAUUGACUGUUCCGUCCAAGCCCUCCCGAUGAACACGACGACGCAUUCCGUUCCGACCCAGCUGGUUGGCUCCCACGCGUUCCGUUGCCUCCCGAUGAACACGACGCAUUCCGUUGCCUCCCCAUGAACACGACGACGACACCAUUUCUCCGUUCCAACCCAGCCAUGUACACGAGCCCUGGCCGUACGUAUGCGCGAGUAAGCGUUCGAGACCCCGCCCGUAUGUACACAUACGUGGCCGUAUUUUCUUUCUUGCACCCUGGCCGCUGUACGUACGUGUACAUGCUACAUGCGCGCCCCUACUACGACACGUGCGCGCCUCUACAUCCAUCAGUAUAUAUGUACGUACACGUUCGCGACCAGAAUGACAACGCUAUGUACCCUUCGACCAGGUGGGUCCCGACUGUCAGGCACUUCCUUGCCUGCGAAGAUGUAGCUGGUGGGUCCCAGCAGUCAGGGAGGCGAAUUGUUUUGUUUUUGCCCGGACGCACUUCCUUGCGUGCGAAGAUGUAGCUGGUGGGUCCCAGCAGUCAGGGGCAAACGUUUUUUUUGCGAAAUACGGUGGCCCGUCCGGUGGGUCCCAGCUGUCAGGUGGAGGAAUAAUUAUUUUGCACGUAAUAAGGAGGCACUUCCUUGCUGCCGCCGUGGACCCAGCUGUCAGCCUCUCCACGUACAGUCCACGUCCGAUGGAAGCCGUUCCUUGACCACGUUGACCACGCCGCGCUGAGAGCACCAGGGCGGUGGACGACGGCGAGGCCUAGGAAGGGGACGACGUGGAGCCGGGGAAGACGCGGCAAUGGAUGCCCACACGUAGAGGAGUACGAGGGUUCACUGGUUCGCUGCGGUGUAAGGCUGCCGUCGCCGCAGAAUAACAGGGGGUGUGGGUGAGUAGAGGGAUGGCCUGGCCAGCGGUGGGAGUAGUAGGCGGCGGCGAGGCCUCUGCCGCAUCGCAGCUGGCCACGAGAGGCAGGAGCACGAGGCACGACUGGCGCUGGUUUGGGCGGCUGGAGCAAGAAGACCAGAGGUUGAAGAAGCACUACGGCCGUUGGAUGGACAUCGUACGGUCACUGGAGCUAGAAUCGUGCAUAUUGACUAAGUUGACAAAGCCCUCCAUCCCCGUCAACUUAGUAGGCCCACAAGUCAGCCUGCCACUAUACUGGGUCCCAACUAACAGGGGGAGUAUUCAUUUUUUUGUGCGUAAUAAGGAGGCACUUCCUUGCGUGCGAAGAUAUAGCUGGUGGGUCUGAGCUGUCAGCGGCGGUAACGUUUUUUUCGCAAAAUACAGAGGCCCUUUCGGUGGGUCCCUAAUGUCAGGUGGAGGAAUCAUUAUUUUGCGCGUAAUAAGGAGGCAUUUCCUUGCGUGCGGCCGUGGACCCAGCUGUUGGCCUCUCCACGUACAGUCCACUUCAGAUGCAUGUCGGUCGUUGACCACGUUGACCAGGCCGUGCCGAGAGCACCAGGGCGGUGGACGACAACGAGGCCUAGGAUGGGAACGACACGGAGGCAAGGAAGACUCGGCAGUUGUUUCCCACGCGGAGGGGAGUACGACUGUACGAGGGUUUACUGGUUCGUCUGCCGUCGCCGGAGAAUAACAGCAGGUGUGGGUGAGUAGAGGGAUGGCUAGGCCAGCGAUGGGAGUACGGUGGGGCGGUGAGGCCUGCGCGGCAGCACAGCCGGCCGCGGGGAGGCGGGAGCAGGCAGUCCCGCCGGCGCUUGUUUGAGCGGCUGGAGCAGGAAGAGCAGAGAUUGAAGAAGCACGGCGGCCAUUCGAUGGACAUCCAACAGUCACUGCUUGUGCGUCAACCUUUUUUUAGGAAAGCCUCAAAUCUGUGGAAAACAGCAAACAACCCAUCUGCCAUCAUUUCUAAUAAUUUACAGCCCAUUUGCUAAUUCUUAAGGUUUUUUUGGAGCCCAUAUUCUUUUUGUUAGCAUUACAGUGGCCACGGUCAAACAAUUAUAUGUAAUUUUGCAUAUUUCGGUGCGGUCCGAACUGUUUUUAAUCCCGAAAUUUUGACUCACAUUCAAACUGAUUUUAAAAAUAAAUGUAUAUCAAUAUAAAAUCCAACAAAUUCUCCACGCAUAAAAAUUAAUGUAAUUUAAAAUCUCGAAAUAAAAAAAGAUAUUUGAAACUAAUUGCCGGUUUGAUGUGUUUUAAAAAUGUACAACCCAUUUCUCAUUACUGAUAGGCCAUUUUCUCGGCCAGCCGAAUGAAGCUCUCCUCGUCUUGAAAGAUUUGCAGCCCAACAAGCCUGACAAAGCGACUUACUUGGGAAAUCACAAAAAAACUGGGCUGUGGCUGUGGACCCAGCUGUCAGCCUCUCCACGUACAGUACUCUUCCGAUGGAAGUCAGUCGUUGACCACAUUGACCACGCCGCGCCGAGAGCACCAAGGCGGUGGACGACGGCGAGGCCUAGGAAGGGGUCGACGCGGAGCCGGGGAAGACGCGACAGUGGAUGCCCACGCGGAGAGGAGUACGAGGGUUCACUGGUUCGGCUGCGGCGUGAGGCUGCCGUCGCCGCAGAAUAACAGGGGGUGUGGGUGAGUAGAGGGAUACCCUGGGCCAGCGGUGGGAGUAGUAGGGGGCGGUGAGGCCUCCGCGGCAUCACAACCGGCCACGAGAGGCAGGAGCACGCGACACGAUCAGCGCUGCUUUGGGCGGCUGGAGCAAAAAGACCAGAGGUUGAAGAAGCACUAUGGCCGUUGGAUGGACAUCGUACGGUCACUGGAGCUAGAAUCGUUCAGAUUGACUAAGUUGACAAAGCCCUCCGUCCUCGUCAACUUAGUAGGCCCACAAGUCAGCCACCCACUAUGGUGGGUCCCAGCUAGCAGGGGGUAUUCAUUUUUUGUGCGUAAUAAGGAGGCACUUCCUUGCGUGCGAAGAUAUAGCUGGUGGGUCCGACCUGCCAGCGGGGGGAACAUUUUUUUCGUGAAAUAUAGAAGCCCUUCCCACGUACAGUGCACGUACAGUGCGUAAUAAGGAGGAACUUUCCUUGCGUGCGACCAUGGACCUCGUGGGUCCCAGCCGUCAGGCUCUCCACGUACAGUCCUCUUCUGAUGACUCUCGUAUGUUGACCACGCCGCGCCGAGCACACCGAGGCGGUGGACGACAGCGGGGCCCCAGACUGGAACGACCCGGAGAUGGGGAAGACGCGGUAGUGGAGUCGCAGACGGAGAGGAGUGGGAAACUUGACUGGUUCGGGUGCGGGGUGGUCCUACACUCGGCAGAGAAUAACAGGAGGUGCGGAGUGGAGGGAUGGCCUGGCCGUCGGCGGGGUAGCGUUUCGCUGAGGAGCGCAAAACAACGCCGCUGGACGCCGAAGGCUGGAGCAGGCGGUUCCGGCAGCGCUGGGGGAAGAAGACGAGAGAUUGAAGAAGAAUGCCGGCCGUUGGAUGUAAAUCCAACGCCUUCUUAGGCUUCGACCUACUGGCCCACAUGUCAGCCAGUCCAUUUGUUUUUUUAGUCCAUUUGGUGGGCUGGGUGAAACAAUGAUGUAGCAUCUAUGCAGCCCGUUUAAAUCCCAUUUGCAUUUUUCUCGAAAUCCGCGGACUUGCUGGGCUGGGUGAAAAUAUCAUGUUGGGCUAGACGGAGAAAUGUUAUAAAAACAUAAACACAUG
rnacentral:lncRNA from 1 species